UACAGAGGUGGCAAGCGUUGUUCGGAAUUACUGGGCGUAAAGGGCGCGUAGGCGGCCACCGCAAGUCAGUUGUGAAAUCUCUGGGCUUAACCCAGAAAGGUCAACUGAUACUGCGGGGCUAGAGUGCAGAAGGGGCAACUGGAAUUCUCGGUGUAGCGGUGAAAUGCGUAGAUAUCGAGAGGAACACCUGCGGCGAAGGCGGGUUGCUGGGCUGACACUGACGCUGAUGCGCGAAAGCGUGGGGAGCAAACAGG
rnacentral:rRNA from 1 species